rnacentral:rRNA from 1 species
UGCAAGUCGAGCGGACAGAUGGGAGCUUGCUCCCUGAUGUUAGCGGCGGACGGGUGAGUAACACGUGGGUAACCUGCCUGUAAGACUGGGAUAACUCCGGGAAACCGGGGCUAAUACCGGAUGGUUGUUUGAACCGCAUGGUUCAGACAUAAAAGGUGGCUUCGGCUACCACUUACAGAUGGACCCGCGGCGCAUUAGCUAGUUGGUGAGGUAACGGCUCACCAAGGCGACGAUGCGUAGCCGACCUGAGAGGGUGAUCGGCCACACUGGGACUGAGACACGGCCCAGACUCCUACGGGAGGCAGCAGUAGGGAAUCUUCCGCAAUGGACGAAAGUCUGACGGAGCAACGCCGCGUGAGUGAUGAAGGUUUUCGGAUCGUAAAGCUCUGUUGUUAGGGAAGAACAAGUGCCGUUCAAAUAGGGCGGCACCUUGACGGUACCUAACCAGAAAGCCACGGCUAACUACGUGCCAGCAGCCGCGGUAAUACGUAGGUGGCAAGCGUUGUCCGGAAUUAUUGGGCGUAAAGGGCUCGCAGGCGGUUUCUUAAGUCUGAUGUGAAAGCCCCCGGCUCAACCGGGGAGGGUCAUUGGAAACUGGGGAACUUGAGUGCAGAAGAGGAGAGUGGAAUUCCACGUGUAGCGGUGAAAUGCGUAGAGAUGUGGAGGAACACCAGUGGCGAAGGCGACUCUCUGGUCUGUAACUGACGCUGAGGAGCGAAAGCGUGGGGAGCGAACAGGAUUAGAUACCCUGGUAGUCCACGCCGUAAACGAUGAGUGCUAAGUGUUAGGGGGUUUCCGCCCCUUAGUGCUGCAGCUAACGCAUUAAGCACUCCGCCUGGGGAGUACGGUCGCAAGACUGAAACUCAAAGGAAUUGACGGGGGCCCGCACAAGCGGUGGAGCAUGUGGUUUAAUUCGAAGCAACGCGAAGAACCUUACCAGGCUUGGCAUCCUCUGACAUCCUAGAGAUAGGACGUCCCCUUCGGGGGCAAAUGACAGGGGGUGCAUGGUU